rnacentral:rRNA from 1 species
UACAGAGGUCCCAAGCGUUGUUCGGAUUCAUUGGGCGUAAAGGGUGCGUAGGUGGCGCCGUAAGUCGGGUGUGAAAUUUCGGAGCUUAACUCCGAAACUGCAUUCGAUACUGCGGUGCUUGAGGACUGGAGAGGAGACUGGAAUUCAUGGUGUAGCAGUGAAAUGCGUAGAGAUCAUGAGGAAGACCAGUGGCGAAGGCGGGUCUCUGGACAGUUCCUGACGCUGAGACGCGAAAGCGUGGGGAGCGAACAGG